CGGACGGGUGAGUAACGCGUGGAUAACCUGCCUCACACUGGGGGAUAACAGUUAGAAAUGGCUGCUAAUACCGCAUAAGCGCACAGUACCGCAUGGUACGGUGUGAAAAACCCAGGUGGUGUGGGAUGGAUCCGCGUCUGAUUAGCCAGUUGGCGGGGUAACGGCCCACCAAAGCGACGAUCAGUAGCCGACCUGAGAGGGUGACCGGCCACAUUGGGACUGAGACACGGCCCAA
rnacentral:rRNA from 1 species